CUUGGCUGGGCCUCAGCACAGGUCCCAGCCUCAGGUGCCCAGUUAGGGUAGGGAGAGCCUCCUUGCCCUUGGUGUGGGCACACAAAAACGCCGCCAAUGCCCUCUAAUCGGAUCUCUUAGGCUGCGGUUGCCAAUCCGCAGAGUAAGAACGCAAGGCCGCCGCCAUCCGGUCGUGAUCAUAACCGAGGCCUUGUCUGUGCAGCAGCACACCAGGCCCAGAUCCACAGCCCUGGACAGCUGUCCCACGCAAGCCCUUCCUUGGCAGAUUCUGACCACAACUUGAGCGCGCAGAGAAAAAUAAGACCCCAGCCCCAGACUCUCCCCAAACCAGCCCUGGGUCCCUCCCGGAGUUAGAGUUAGGGGGGCGAGGUGGUAGAGAUAGAAAAGUAGGCACAGAGAGACUGAAGAUGAAAGAAAAAUAAAGGGAAGGGAAGACAGAAGGAAGAAGUAAAGGAAGGGAAAAAACAAAAAAGCACAAAGAGGAAGGAAGCGAGGAAGAAAAGGAAGAGUCAAAGGCGACUCCUGGGAGCCGCGGGCAGCUUACAGAAAGAAGGGUAAGUGACAAGGCCAGGAUCCCAGCCCCUUUCCGCCCUGUCCCUCCUAGUUUGGCCUGAGUCUCUCUCAAAGGGAUCUUUCCUGAUCUCUACCCUGGAUUGGGACUGGUAGUAUCCCAGCCUUGCAGGAGAAUGGCAGGAUCCCUGGCCAGGCACAGGCCUGGAGUGGGGGGAGGCCCAGGAUGGAAGCGUGCGCCCCUGACCUUGAAUGGCUCAGGGCCCAGAAUUCCUACCACGCCCCCGGCCUCCGCCAAGAAGCAGCUAACCUGACCAUACCUGCUCGGGGCCAGGUGGGCACGGGGUGGGAGGUGAAGCCAGCAGCCUGACAAAGCUCUGAGAAGGAGGCAGGGACGCGGCUCCUGCACGGGGAAAAGCCGAGGUUGCCACCGCAGGCCUGGCACGACCAGGGCCUGGAUGCCCCGCCCGGCCCGGCCCCCGCGCGCACAGGUACCUGGAGACGAUUUCAACUGAAGUAAUGAAGGCAGUGUCGUGCUGUCGAGAGAAAGGUGGAUCCCAACAACAGGAAACUACCUAAAUCACCGACCAGUUCUGGUGCUGCCCGCGCGGGGCUGCCUCGCCCGCCGCUGCCGCCGCCACUGCCGCCGCCACUGCCGCCGCCAAAGGGAGAACCCUGCGAUCGCGCCCGGCCGACCCCCCCCCCCUUGCCAACCUGCGCCUGCGCUGCCACUGUGUGAGCGGCGCUACAGCUAAGGCAUCACGGAGGGAGAAGCCACCGGCCCCGCUCCCCUCUCAACUGAAACCACUGGUCCAAGACAGCCACAAUCCAGAUAUACUAGCAAGUCAUAAAACUGAACAAAAGCCGACAAACCUUACGGCACCAGGGCUAUAGGGCCCAGACAAAUUACGACCGUCUAGGUUUGACCCUUUUAUGCAUGUAACUUCACAGUAUAAAGGAAACCCAAACAAAGUCUCCCUUCUCUAGUCUAUUCCGCUUGCCCCAGCCCUCCUUGGGUUCUAUGAAUUUUAGAAAGGAAAAAGAAAGAGGAAGAAGAAAAAAGAAAAUGAGAAAGAAAACUCUCCACAAGACAGGGAGAAUUGCGGUGUGCUUGUCGUGUGUUACCAGUGGUAACAAUUACUUAAUGACAAAAAAACCCCACUAAAUCCACACGCAUAAACAAAACUACCUUAGGUUAUUUAUCUACAGACAGAAGGAUAUGGAAAUUCAGAGGUAAGUGAAAUAAUUUAGUCCCACAAUGCAAGACUAACACAAACUGGAAGAGAAGUUUCCUUCUCCUGGUCGUUCUUUUUUUUUUUUUCUUUUUCUUUUUCUUUUUUUCCUUUUAAAGCUGGGAUAUCUUGCAGAGGAAGGAAAGAUUAAUCUUUCUUACUCUCAAUUUUUUAAUCAGCCAAAGUCAAGCCCUUUUGCCAGCCUGCAUGUCCAUGCCUGUAAGCCCUUCUCUUUGCCAAGGAAGAAAGAAA